GUGAGGAAUCUUGCGCAAUGGGGGAAACCCUGACGCAGCAACGCCGCGUGAGUGAGGAAGGCCUUCGGGUCGUAAAGCUCUGUCUGGUGGGAAGAAAUGUAUAACGGUGAAUACCCGUUAUGCUUGACGGUACCGCCGAAGGAAGCACCGGCUAACUCCGUGCCAGCAGCCGCGGUAAUACGGGGGGUGCAAGCGUUGUUCGGAAUUAUUGGGCGUAAAGAGCGUGUAGGCGGCUGGGUAAGUCAGAUGUGAAAGCCCUGGGCUUAACCCAGGAAGUGCAUUUGAUACUGCCCGGCUUGAGUAGGGGAGAGGGAAGUGGAAUUCCUGGUGUAGAGGUGAAAUUCGUAGAUAUCAGGAGGAACACCGGUGGCGAAGGCGACUUCCUGGCCCUAUACUGACGCUGAGACGCGAGAGCGUGGGGAGCAAACAGGAUUAGAAACCCGAGUAGUCC
rnacentral:rRNA from 1 species